rnacentral:snRNA from 1 species
UCCUGUGAGCCACCUGGCUCUAACAUCUGUCACACCACUGAUGGCUGGGACUGAUUCAGCUGAUCCCAGUGGCUAGGGAGGUGUCCCCUUUCUCCCUCACCUCUGCAUGUGCGUUCAGCCUGAAGCUGUGCAUGCAGUUCAAAGGAUCUUCCCCAUACAGAAGAGGAGCAACCUUCAGUCAGGGGCCUGUAAGAGCUGUGCUCUCCUGACAGAGCCUCCAAACAGGCUCUCAGAUGUCCUAAAUGUGAUUUACAGCUGUUUUUCAAAAACAACAAAUAAAGCAUAAGCCAGUAUAAUAAGCCAUCUUUU